AGAGUUUGAUCAUGGCUCAGAACGAACGCUGGCGGCACGCUUAACACAUGCAAGUCGAACGGAGUAGAAUACUUCGGUAUUUUACUGAGUGGCGGACGGGUGAGUAACACGUGGGAACCUGCCCUGUAGUGGGGGAUAACUGCUGGAAACGGCAGCUAAUACCGCAUACGCCCUGAGGGGGAAAGGAUCUCAGAUGUCAG
rnacentral:rRNA from 1 species